AGAGUUUGAUCCUGGCUCAGGACGAACGCUGGCGGCGCGCCUAACACAUGCAAGUCGAACGGAGCUGAGAGGAGCUUGCUUUUCUUAGCUUAGUGGCGAACGGGUGAGUAACGCGUGAGUAACCUGCCCUGGAGUGGGGGACAACAGUUGGAAACGACUGCUAAUACCGCAUAAGCCCACGGCCCGGCAUCGGGCUGCGGGAAAAGGAUUUAUUCGCUUCAGGAUGGACUCGCGUCCAAUUAGCUAGUUGGUGAGGUAACGGCCCACCAAGGCGACGAUUGGUAGCCGGACUGAGAGGUUGAACGGCCACAUUGGGACUGAGACACGGCCCAGACUCCUACGGGAGGCAGCAGUGGGGGAUAUUGCACAAUGGGGGAAACCCUGAUGCAGCGACGCCGCGUGGAGGAAGAAGGUUUUCGGAUUGUAAACUCCUGUCGUUAGGGACGAUAAUGACGGUACCUAACAAGAAAGCACCGGCUAACUACGUGCCAGCAGCCGCGGUAAAACGUAGGGUGCAAGCGUUGUCCGGAAUUACUGGGUGUAAAGGGAGCGCAGGCGGACCGGCAAGUUGGAAGUGAAAACUAUGGGCUCAACCCAUAAAUUGCUUUCAAAACUGCUGGCCUUGAGUAGUGCAGAGGUAGGUGGAAUUCCCGGUGUAGCGGUGGAAUGCGUAGAUAUCGGGAGGAACACCAGUGGCGAAGGCGACCUACUGGGCACCAACUGACGCUGAGGCUCGAAAGCAUGGGUAGCAAACAGGAUUAGAUACCCUGGUAGUCCAUGCCGUAAACGAUGAUUACUAGGUGUUGGAGGAUUGACCCCUUCAGUGCCGCAGUUAACACAAUAAGUAAUCCACCUGGGGAGUACGACCGCAAGGUUGAAACUCAAAGGAAUUGACGGGGGCCCGCACAAGCAGUGGAGUAUGUGGUUUAAUUCGAAGCAACGCGAAGAACCUUACCAGGUCUUGACAUCCGAUGCAUAGUGCAGAGAUGCAUGAAGUCCUUCGGGACAUCGAGACAGGUGGUGCAUGGUUGUCGUCAGCUCGUGUCGUGAGAUGUUGGGUUAAGUCCCGCAACGAGCGCAACCCUUAUUGCCAGUUACUACGAAAGAGGACUCUGGCGAGACUGCCGUUGACAAAACGGAGGAAGGUGGGGAUGACGUCAAAUCAUCAUGCCCCUUAUGACUUGGGCUACACACGUGCUACAAUGGCGUAAACAAAGUGAAGCGAGAGUGUGAGCUUAAGCAAAUCACAAAAAUAACGUCUCAGUUCGGAUUGUAGUCUGCAACUCGACUACAUGAAGCUGGAAUCGCUAGUAAUCGCAGAUCAGAAUGCUGCGGUGAAUACGUUCCCGGGUCUUGCACACACCGCCCGUCA
rnacentral:rRNA from 1 species